UAAGUGUCGGAUGUUUCUGCCUGAGCAACAGAACAAUGCUUGCCCUCCUCAACAGGUAACAGUACUGGGAUACCUCUGUUUUAUUAAAUCCCAUUUCUGAAUGGAUGUCAUUGUCUGUACACGAUUAUGGUAACGUAACUAUUCAAAAUAUUUUCUGAAAAUGGCAUUUGGUGUACGUUUUUGAAACGGCUUUUGCGUUUUAGCUCCAUUUCGGCGUCAGCUACACCGAUUAAGAUUUCCUCCUAAAACACAAUGGGUAGGUGUAGGCUUUCGAGAUUCACUCGCAGUCACCUAUAAUUCCUAUCUACCCUAGCCUGCCAUACCCUUUCGUUGCCCGUGGUAUGUUCAGUUCUACGCAUGGUUCCUGCCAUGUAACAAUGAUCCCCAUAUUCAAAAGCGGGAUAAGUCAGCUGAAUGUCAUUUUCACUAUUUUCACCCGUGUACACCACACAGCGCAAACGGAGAGUUUCAAAUAUAUGACCAACAGACACAUUUCCGUAGAAUUUUUGUUUUCUAAAUAACCCCGUUCUUACAGUGAGUAUGCAGAAAACUGUGCCGUCUCGUCGAGGUUUAAAUUUUAGUGACAUUGUACUCGUGUUCCACCAAAGAGCCACUCGAUCUCGGAAGCGUUUCAGCUGUGUUCUUGGUACCUGGAAAUUGGGGUACUGGACGUAGAGCGGCGUAAGAUGAAGAACGAUGCUGCGAUCUAAUGGUAACGCAAUCUGAUGUGCAGAUUUUAGGGACCAUUUCUCUGUAGACUGAGGGGGCUGUUUCCACACUUCCAUAGAUGGCGUGCCUUUGUGCUGGUCAUUAAAUUUGGCCUUCUGUGACUGCUGACCAUAACCUGUUGUAGGCUGUAGCUGAGGUGAUGCCGG